GUGGGCCUUUAGCCCACUACGAAUGAAAUCAGAUUGGGGAGGGGGUUCCUUUGGUGUUUUCAUUUGUUGAGGGUUAGAUAAUGUUGAUAGAAGAGAGACUAGGUGAGAAGAAGAGAAAAAGGAGAAGACGAAGAAAAAAACAACGCCGGAGGCGAAGGCGGAUGGCGGCGACGCUGAAGGACACCGAAAGACAUGGCGGUUUCGACGGCGGUUUCGACGGCGGUUAACAAAGCGACGACGGUGGAGCGAAGUGACAAGCACAGCGGCGGGUUCCUAGCUCAAGCAUGGUAGUCGUCUCCUUCCUCUUUCUUCUCCGACGAGCGGCAGUGACAAUAGCGGCAAAAAUAAACAACUAACUGUUUCGGUGCUUGAGACUAGAGGUGUCAAAAUGGGCGAACCCGCGCGGGCCGGCCGGCCACAACCUGAAAUUUUGUAGGGCUUUUGUAUUAAAUUUGGCACUUUUUAGUGAAUCCGUGCUAUAUUAAAACCGGGCUCGGACCGGGCUUACCCGGGCGGGUUCGGGCUACCCGUUUUCUCUUAUUUAAAUUUUUUUUUAGACUUUUUGGCUAGGUAAUAAGAUGAAAAUUAUUUUACAAUAAAAAAUAGAUAAUAUAUACUAAAUAUUGUGUAAUUAACUUUGAAUAAAAAAUAGAGUAAUGUCUAUAACAUAUAUAUUUAUAAAUUACAAUAAUGUUAUCAAGUUAAUAAUUAUAUUAUCUUUCCUAUUUUGCUUAAUAUCAUUUUUAACACAUUAGCAAAAUAGUGUAUCAAAUUAACUGAGAACAUUAAAUCAUAUUGAUUCUAUUUUUCUUUUUUUUAAUUGGAUAUUUAAUUAGAUUUAAAUUCUACGACAAAAAUAUAAUAAAGAAAAUAAUUUUUACAACGAAACUGAAAAACAACUUAAUUGUUUACCGUAGAGAACUCAACACAACCAAAUUUAACAUAACAGUUUAUAAUGAAAAUGUUGAU